rnacentral:rRNA from 1 species
GAUGAACGCUGGCGGCGUGCUUAACACAUGCAAGUCGAACGGUGAACGAGGGAGCUUGCUCCCUCCGGAUCAGUGGCGAACGGGUGAGUAACACGUGAGCAAUCUGCCCUGGACUCUGGGAUAAGCGUUGGAAACGACGUCUAAUACCGGAUACGAGGCGUGGGGGCAUCCCCAACGCCUGGAAAGAACUUCGGUCCAGGAUGAGCUCGCGGCCUAUCAGCUAGUUGGUGAGGUAACGGCUCACCAAGGCGACGACGGGUAGCCGGCCUGAGAGGGUGACCGGCCACACUGGGACUGAGACACGGCCCAGACUCCUACGGGAGGCAGCAGUGGGGAAUAUUGCACAAUGGGCGCAAGCCCGAUGCAGCAACGCCGCGUGAGGGACGAAGGCCUUCGGGUUGUAAACCUCUUUUAGCAGGGAAGAAGCGAAAGUGACGGUACCUGCAGAAAAAGCACCGGCUAACUACGUGCCAGCAGUCGCGGUAAAAC